UCAGUGAGUAAAGGUGCUCUUCUUCAAGU
rnacentral:piRNA from 1 species